rnacentral:sRNA from 1 species
AGGCAUUGUGGAUGUGGGUCCACGCCUCGUCCGGCCUGGACCCAUCUCUUGGCCUAACAGAGGGAUCUGGAGCGCUGUUAUUCCCCGCGUCCCCCCGCGGAGUGGCUCUCGAGUGUGGGGAGGUGUUGGGGAGGGGAGUGGACUUAGGGAAGGGGCGGCAAAAGGGCAAAGGGAGAAAUGGCGUGUGUGUGCGUGUCAAGGAAUGGAGAGGGCAGGGCGCGAGGCCAGGCUCUGUUGGGCCCCAGCUCACGGCGCCCCUUCUUUCUGUCUGUACCUGCGUGUGUUGCCGUCGGCGGCGGGGCCGCAGCCAGCGACGUGCCCCAGGACGGGCUGCUUCUGCACGGCCCCUUCGCACGCAAGCCCAAGCGGAUCCGCACGGCCUUCUCGCCCUCGCAGCUGCUGCGGCUGGAGCGCGCCUUCGAGAAGAACCACUACGUGGUGGGCGCCGAGCGGAAGCAGCUGGCCGGCAGUCUCAGCCUCUCCGAGACGCAGGUGAAGGUGUGGUUCCAGAACCGGAGGACAAAGUACAAACGGCAGAAGCUGGAGGAGGAAGGGCCUGAGUCCGAGCAGAAGAAGAAGGGCUCCCAUCACAUCAACCGGUGGCGCAUCGCCACGAAGCAGGCCAAUGGGGAGGACAUCGAUGUCACCUCCAAUGACUAGGGUGGGCAACUACAAACCCACGAGGGCAGAGUGCUGCUUGCUGCUGGCCAGGCCCCUGCGUGGGCCCAAGCUGGACUCUGGCCACUCCCUGGCCAGGCUUCGGGGAGGCCUGGAGUCAUGGCCCCACAGGGCUUGAAGCCCGGGGCCGCCAUUGACAGAGGGACAAGCAAUGGGCUGGCUGAGGCCUGGGACCACUUGGCCUUCUCCUCGGAGAGCCUGCCUGCCUGGGCGGGCCCGCCCGCCACCGCAGCCUCCCAGCUGCUCUCCGUGUCUCCAAUCUCCCUU